rnacentral:rRNA from 1 species
CGAAACCAGGUGAUCUACCCUUGGUCAGGUUGAAGUUCAGGUAACACUGAAUGGAGGACCGAACCGACUUACGUUGAAAAGUGAGCGGAUGAACUGAGGGUAGCGGAGAAAUUCCAAUCGAACCUGGAGAUAGCUGGUUCUCUCCGAAAUAGCUUUAGGGCUAGCCUCAAGUGAUGAUUAUUGGAGGUAGAGCACUGUUUGGACGAGGGGCCCCUCUCGGGUUACCGAAUUCAGACAAACUCCGAAUGCCAAUUAAUUUAACUUGGGAGUC